rnacentral:lncRNA from 1 species
UAACGUAAGCCAACACCAAGAGCUUUGAAGAUUACCUGGUUCGUGGGGAUAUUGCGGAUGUGAAAUUAUCUCUCUCGCCUUGCUGCUAGAAUCCUUAAACUCAAGUCGAAUCGGAGGUGGACCCGAAUGAUUACCGUUGUCAGUUCAGAUUUUGUUUUGUUUUGAGGUUGAGCUUUGGAGUUGUUUCAGUGAUGAACGGUUUUGCUGAAUGGAUUUGGACGGUCGAAACAAGUGGUGAGCUUUCCAGCCAAUCCACAAGCCUGAGCCAAACUCGCCUGUCCCUGCUUCGAUUUUGAAUCUAUGAACAAAAAACUGCCUUUGCCGUUUGCGAGACCGAAAUCGUCGAAACGAAUCGACCUGUAAAAUAAGAAUAAAUUUAAAACUAACGUCAAACAUUCAAAACAAUAAACAACAUGACUUUUCCCCAAAGAGUCGGCAACAGAGACAUCGCCGUUGGAGCAGUUGUUG